GUCGCAGCGAGCCGUGCUGUGCUUGACCAGGCAGAGCCCGACAGACUGCAGAAUUCCCCACUCCCAUGCAGCUCCGCAGUAAUACACUCUGCAGUACUCGACCCAAGUCAGGCAACCAGCUCUUCUGGUCUUUUCGCUGGCCACUGUGGUCCAGGUCAACACUCUGGUCCAAACCAUCCUGCACCUGUUUGCCGCAAGCUCACGAAAAGUC